rnacentral:rRNA from 1 species
AUUGAACGCUGGCGGCAGGCCUAACACAUGCAAGUCGAGCGGUAACACAGGGAGCUUGCUCCCGGGUGACGAGCGGCGGACGGGUGAGUAAUGUCUGGGAAACUGCCUGAUGGAGGGGGAUAACUACUGGAAACGGUAGCUAAUACCGCAUAAUGUCGCAAGACCAAAGAGGGGGACCUUCGGGCCUCUUGCCAUCAGAUGUGCCCAGAUGGGAUUAGCUAGUAGGUGGGGUAACGGCUCACCUAGGCGACGAUCCCUAGCUGGUCUGAGAGGAUGACCAGCCACACGGGAACUGAGACACGGUCCAGACUCAUACGGGAGGCAGCAGUGGGGAAUAUUGCACAAUGGGCGCAAGCCUGAUGCAGCCAUGCCGCGUGUAUGAAGAAGGCCUUCGGGUUGUAAAGUACUUUCAGCGGGGAGGAAGGUGUUGAGGUUAAUAACCUCAGCAAUUGACGUUACCCGCAGAAGAAGCACCGGCUAACUCCGUGCCAGCCGCCGCGGUAA